GAUGAACGCUAGUGGAGCGCUUAACACAUGCAAGUCGAACGAGAUCCCCGAUUCGUCGGGGUGAGAGUGGCAAACGGGCGAGUAACGCGUAUCUAACCUGCCCAAGAGAUGGGAAUAACUAUGGAGACAUAGCUAAAAUCCCAAUACGUCCUUAAAGUUGAAAUGCUUUUUGGAGAAAACUACGGUGCUCAUGGAGGGAGAUGCGUCCUAUCAGGUAGUUGGUAAGGUAAUGGCUUACCAAGCCUAUGACGGGUAGCCGGUCUGAGAGGAUGUCCGGCCGCAAUGGGACUGAGACACGGCCCAUACUCCUACGGGAGCAGCAGUGGGGAAUAUUGGACAAUGGGCGAAAGCCUGAUCCAGCGACUCCACGUGAAGGAUGAAGCUUCGCGGAGUGUAAACUUC
rnacentral:rRNA from 1 species